rnacentral:rRNA from 1 species
AUGCUGCCGCUGCGGCGCCUCCUCGCCGCCUCCCUCCGCUAUGCUCGCCGCCACCCCGGCCUCCGGCCCCGCCGCCUCCUCUCGUCCGGCCCCGCCCCGCCCGCCUCCCCUUCUCCGCCUUCCACCUCGUCGACCCUCCCCGUCGCGGCGCCUCCCCCGCCGCGGCACCAUCUCGCGCCCCUCCGCGGCCCCCGCCGCAUCUCCCCGCUGCUCGCCAUCUCCGCGCUCUCCGUCGCCACCGCCGCCGGGACGCUCUACGCCACCACCGACAACAUCGAGGAGACCCUAGCGAGGACCAGGGCGUCCGCCGCGCGCGUGGCGGAGCAGAUGCGGCACACGUGGACGGCGGGCGGGGUGCUCUGCAAGUCGCUCAUGUCCGUCCUGUCGUCCGCCAACCACGAGGUGCGGUCCGGGUUCGAGAUGCGGGUCGCCGCGCUGCUAGCCGACAUCACCGCUGCCAGCGCCGCUCGGCGUGCGGCCAUCGUGUCCGCGGGCGGCGGCGCCGUGGUUGACUGGCUGCUCGACAGCAUCGUGCGGGGCGCCACGCAGGCGGAGGCGGCGCGGGCGCUCGCGAACCUGCUGGCCGACCCGUGGGUUGCGCCUGCUGUGCUCGGCCGGCCACGAGCGGUGCCCUCCCUCCUUCAGUUUAUCUUCUCCUACCAGCCCAAGCGCGGCAAGAAGAACUCCAGACACUCUUCGUUCGAUGUAUCAGAUCACUCUAAAGGAAGGAGCAUGCUUGUCGCUGCACUCAUGGAUAUAAUCACAUCCAACUGUGAUAAUGCAGAUUAUUCGGCCUUUCGGCCUUUGUUGCCUGCAGAUGCUGAUAUAAGAGAUAUUGCAGCAGCUAUCGAAGUCAUUGAGGAAGGGGGGAUGCAUUUUGAUGACCAUGAGGAUGAUAGCAGUGAUGAUGGUGACAGGGGAUUAAAAGGGAUAGGGAUUAAGGUACUUGGGGGGACCACUAUAUUGGGAUUCUCUAGAGAAAAUAACUCACUAAAGAUUGGCAACUCAGGUGAUGAUGUUCUGGAAGUUGCACAAAAUAGUAGAAUGGAAGUUGCCCAGAAUAGUAGUGGACUGGUAAACCAAGAGCCUACUGUUGAUUAUGUAGACAUCGAGAGACUAAGUUCCCAUGCUACUCCAGGCCUAUGGGAUGAUUUACAGAGGGAGCAUGUAGCUGUACCCUUUGCUACCUGGGCUCUUGCUAAUUGGGCUAUAGCAUCGGAUCUGAACCGCACUCGUAUUCAAGAACUUGAUAGCGACGGGCAUGCUGUGACAACUGCACUGAAAGCUCCUGAAAGAACUGUGAAGUGGCAUGGAGCCUUGGUGGCCCGGGCUCUUUUGGAAGACCAGAACUUGACUUUGGCUCCUUCUGUCCCUGAUUGGUCCUCAAGUCUUCUUUUAACAGCUUCUCAGGCUACUGAGAAUGGCGACAUGUCGUUGGCCCAAAUGUCACUGUCAACUUUCCUGUUAUCCAUGAUACGAUGCAAUGAGUCGAAGUUUGUGAUAAGGCAGAAGGGUCUUCAUCUUCUUCGUAGUGUUGCAAAAAAAAUAGAAAAGGAAAAUAGUCAGAGUGGUAUGAAGGAGUCAUUAGUGGUUGCCCUGAGUUCGCUCUAUUCUGGUGAAGUUCCUUUGUCACUUGAAGAAGCUCAAAGAUGGUCUGGCAUUCUCCUUCGUUGGCUCUUUGACAAAUCUGUAUCAGGCACAACACAUCAUACAUCUGUAAAAAUCCUUUCAUCUAUACUUGAGGAUUACGGACCAUCCUCCGUACCGAUUUCUCAGGGAUGGUUAGCUCUCGUGCUUUCUGAAAUUCUUGGAGACAACAAGACACAAAGUUUGAAAGGAGCCACCCCGCCUGAACCAGAACGAGUGAAGAAUCAAGUUGAUUACCAUAAUGCUUACACUGCCACACAGGUCUUGAAUCAGUUAGCUACAGCUGUUGUCAAAUUAGCAAGCAUUCAGUCGGACUAUGGUUCUGAGUCUGGUGACAAAGUACCACUUUACGAUUUUCUUUCUCUUGAACCAUUUGCUACAGCUGUAAAGAACUUGAACAAAAAGAGCCCACCCAAGUUUGAUGCUGUUGACUCAGCCUUAGCUACGCUUAAGGGAAUAAAAGCACUAGCGGAGCUUUGUUCUGAGGAUGUCACGUGCCAAAAGAGAAUAGCUGAUUUAGGAGUUGUUUCGUUAUUGAAACACAUCCUCGUCGGUGACGAUUAUGAGAAACUUGCUGCAAUUGAAGCAUAUGAUGCAUCAAGAAUACGAGAAGUGCAAGACAAGAAUGUGUCUGCUUCCGAUGAUUCUUCUACUGCUGCUACCACUGAUCCCCGUAGUGUACGUGUUCCUCCAGCAGCACAUAUUCGAAGGCAUGCCGGGCGGCUGCUUACCAUUCUCUCCCUUCUACCCAACUCAAAGAAGGAAAUUGUUUCUGAUGAUGUAUGGUGCAAGUGGCUUGAGGAAUGCGCAACUGGACGAAUUCCUUGCAAUGAUAUAAAGUUAAAAAGUUACUGCAGACUAACUCUGUUAAAUGUAUUCUGCUCUGAGAGUCAAAAUACAAGAAGUGUUUCUGGUGAAUAUCCUGACUCAGAAUGUGAGUAUAAAAGAAAGUGUCCUCAGUUUGGAGAUGCGCUGUUCUUGCUGAAUCCAGAAUUACCUCUUGAGGUUCAUUUGGGCAACAGCGGCUGUGGGACUUCAAGAGAUACUUGUAAGGAUGAUGGAUGCAUUGAACAUAGUGGCUCUAAAACUAGAAGCGUAGAAGGUUCAGGUGCUGCAUCAAGACGUGUCUCCCCUGAAGUUGAUGUCGUGUUUGUCCAUGGCCUUCGGGGUGGCCCAUUCAACUCAUGGCGGAUAGCUGAUGACAAGUCAUCAACUACUAAAGCUGGUCUGGUGGAAAGUAUAGAUGAAGAUGCUGGAAAAGAAGGUACUUGUUGGCCAAGACAAUGGCUUUCAUCAGAUUUUCCUCAAGCUCGUUUCUUCACGGUCAAAUACAAGACAAAUUUGACACAAUGGACUGGAGCCAGCCUGUCCCUUCAGGAGGUGAGCUCUAUGCUGCUGAGGAAGCUGGUGGCUGCUGGGAUCGGUAGCCGACCUGUUGUGUUUGUGACUCAUAGCAUGGGUGGACUGGUGGUUAAGCAGAUAUUGCAUCAAGCGAAACUGAACAAUUACGACAAGUUCCUGAAUAAUACAAUUGGACUAGUCUUUUAUAGCUGUCCGCAUUUUGGCAGUAAACUUGCAGACAUGCCAUGGCGUAUGGGUUAUGUGUUUCGUCCAGCUCCUUCAAUUGGCGAAUUAAGAAGUGGGUCUCCAAGACUUGUCGAGUUAAAUGAUUUUGUGCGGCAGCGCUACAGCAAAGGACUUCUCGAUGUUCUUAGUUUUAGUGAGAGCGAAGUCACACCAAUUGUGGAAGGUUAUGGUGGUUGGGCAUUCCGAGCGGAGAUAGUCCCGAUCGAAUCUGCAUACCCAGGAUACGGGGAGCUUGUCGUUCUACAGAACACUGACCAUAUAAACUCGUGUAAACCGGUGAACAAGAAUGACCCUUCAUACGCCGAGACUCUGGCAUUUUUGGAGAAAAGCCUGAAAUCACGGGGCAAAAGAGCAGAAGCCUAG